rnacentral:ncRNA from 2 species
GGGUUCGAGUCCCGUGCUGGUUCGCCCCCGCCCUCCGCGGCGGGCGUCGCAAGAGGGAACCCGGUGCGAAUCCGGGACUGCCCCGCAGCGGUGAGCAGGAACGACCGCCGUCAUGAGCACUGGACCGAGCCACGGUCCGGGAAGCGACGGCCAGUAGGUCGCGCCCUCCUUCGGGAGGAGGCGCGGUGCCGCGAGUCCGAAGACCUGCCAGUGCGCGUAUCGUCCG